rnacentral:misc_RNA from 1 species
GAUGAAGAACGCAGCGAAAUGCGAUAAGUAAUGUGAAUUGCAGAAUUCAGUGAAUCAUCGAAUCUUUGAACGCACAUUGCGCCUGCCAGUAGUCUGGCGGGCAUGCCUGUCUGAGCGUCAUUUCAACCCUCAUGCCCCUAGGGCGGUGUGUUGGGGAUCGGCCAAAGCCCGCGAGGGACGGCCGGCCCCUAAAUCUAGUGGCGGACCCGUCGUGGCCUCCUCUGCGAAGUAGUGAUAUUCCGCAUCGGAGAGCGAUGAGCCCCUGCCGUUAAACCCCCAACUUUCCAAGGUUGACCUCAGAUCAGGUAGGAAUACCCGCUGAACUUAAGCAUAUCAAUAAGCGGAGGA